rnacentral:SRP_RNA from 1 species
GCUGGGCAUGAUGCUGCAUGCCUAUCAUCCUAGCUAGUGGGCAGUCUGAGGUUGUCAGAUCUCUUGAACUUGGAUAUUCUGAGCUGCAAUGGGUUAUGCCAAUCAGGUACCUGAAUUAAGUCCAACAUCAGUGCCCCAAGGAGCAGGGGGCCAGCAGGUUGCCUAUGGAGAGGUGAAUCAGCCCAGGCACAAAUGGAGCAGGUUAAAACUUCAAUGCCUAUCAGUAGCAAUAGAGGACUUGUGAGUAACCACUGAAUUUUUAGUUUAGGUGAGAUAGGGAGAUCUAAUCUUU